GGAAUGUGGAUCAGUGGUAGAGUGCUUGCCUAGCAUGUAUAAUGCCUGGGUUGGAUUCCCAGCACCA
rnacentral:tRNA from 1 species